rnacentral:rRNA from 1 species
AUGCGCGACAAGGGACCGGGUCCGCAGACCUCUAGUUCUACUGCAAGCAGAGAUAAUAGAAGUAUCUGGGAUAGCAUCUGGAAAUCGAGAGUGCCGGAGAAGAUCAAAAUAUUUGCGUGGAGGGUAGCCACUAACACCUUAGCAACCAAGGUGAACAAAUGCAGACGUACGUUGGCAACGGACAAAACAUGCGACAUCUGCGGUACUACGGAAGAGAAUGAAUACCAUGCGGUAGUAACUUGCACAAAGAGCAGAGCACUCAGGGAAGAGAUGAGGAAGCACUGGAAGAUUCCGAAGGAAAGAUCAUUCUGGCAUACGGGGGAAGACUGGCUUCAGGGCCUCCUUAUUGCAUGUGACGACGAGGAGAAAAGCAGAGUGCUAAUGUUACUGUGGCGUGCAUGGUUUCUCCGGGAGGACAUAAUCCACGGGAAUGGGAAAGAAUGUAUCUUGAGAUUGUUGGAAAUAUGCCCUAGAGGCAAUAAUAAAUAG